rnacentral:lncRNA from 1 species
GGUUAUAUCUGGGAUAGACUUUGUAGUGUUCGAUUUUUGUGGAGGACUCUUUUGUUAUUCAUUCUUUUCUUUUGUUCUGACUAGGAGCGAUGGAGCCCUGAAGUUUUAGACAGGAAACUUACCAUUUUCCACCAAUUUUACUUAAUAAAGUGCUUCCGUUGAUUCUUACACUGGUCUUGUCAGCAGAGUGGCAAUGCGCCACUUUUCCGACAGAGGGCAGUGUGUAUUUGCUAAACGACAAGAACUCUUGCUGAGUCCCAAGGUUUGGAAAACUGUCCUCUGCAAAGAGCAGAAAGGACACUAGGAAACAAUUUCUUUCUUUCAAUUUUGCUUCCGUAGCUUCAACUACAGAUGCUUUUUUUUUUUCCUUUGGUGAAAAUUAUAAGAAAAUCGUUUUCCUCCCACAUGUCCCUGACACCCGAGGAAGAAAUGGAGAAAAUAAAGGUCGAACGCACAGAGAAGGUGAUAGGCAUCCUGACCAAGCCAAAACACCUAUACAAGAAAGGAAGAAAGAGAUGGAGGAAAGGGAGAAAAGGAAGAAGAAGGAUGGGAGUUUCUUCAUUUAUUUCAGAAUAUGAAAGUGCUUUCUCUUAUGGAUAA